rnacentral:rRNA from 1 species
UACGGGGGGGGCAAGCGUUGUUCGGAAUUACUGGGCGUAAAGGGCUCGUAGGCGGCCAACUCAGUCGGACGUGAAAUCCCUCGGCUUAACCGGGGAACUGCUUCCGAUACUGGAUGGCUUGAGUGUGGGAGAGGGAUGCGGAAUUCCAGGUGUAGCGGUGAAAUGCGCAGAUAUCAGGAGGAACACCGGUGGCGAAGGCGGGUCUCUGGGCCGAAAUUGACGCUGAGGAGCGAAAGCGUGGGGAGCAAACAGG